GCUGCGUACUGUUCUGUAGUUUGCUUCAGGUUUUUAUGUUAUAAUUUUGCAGAGAAUGAUUAGAUGAGUAAAUAUUUGCGUCUACAUCAAAUGUCACAACAGUCGACAUCGAGAAUAUCAUCUGCAUCACUUUCCGAAAGAAGACAAUCCCCAUCAUAAGGAUUGAAUUUGAAAAGUUGGCAAUCUCUUCCUAAAAUAUUAUACCCGCAACUUUUUAAGAAGCAUGGAUGUCCGUGGCGAUCAUUGUUUACCCGAAAUCAUCAAACAAAAUCGUACAAAAAA